CCUACGGGUGGCAGCAGUGAGGAAUAUUGGUCAAUGGGCGCGAGCCUGAACCAGCCAAGUCGCGUGAGGGAUGAAGGUACAGAGUAUCGUAAACCUCUUUUGUCAGGGAACAAAGGCGGGGACGCGUCCCCGGAUGAGUGUACCUGAAGAAAAAGCAUCGGCUAACUCCGUGCCAGCAGCCGCGGUAAUACGGAGGAUGCGAGCGUUAUCCGGAUUUAUUGGGUUUAAGGGGUGCGCAGGCGGUCUGUUAAGUCAGCGGUCAAAGCCCGGGGCUCAACCCCGGCCCGCCGUUGAAACUGGCAGUCUCGAGUUGGAGAGAAGUAUGCGGAAUGCGCGGUGUAGCGGUGAAAUGCAUAGAUAUCGCGCAGAACUCCGAUUGCGAAGGCAGCAUGCCGGCUCCACACUGACGCUGAGGCACGAAAGCGUGGGUAUCGAACAGGAUUAGAUACCCGAGUAGUC
rnacentral:rRNA from 1 species